GCUUGUCUCAAAGAUUAAGCCAUGCAUGUCUAAGUAUAAGCAACCUUAUACAGCGAAACUGCGUACAGCUCAUUAUAUCAGCAAUUAUUUAUUUGAAGAUCACCUAUUACAUGGAUAACCGUGGUAAUUCUAGAGCUAAUACAUGCGAAAAGACGGGCCGCAAGGCUUGUUGUAUUUAUUAGAUAAAGAACCAAUCCAUGCUUGCAUGGUUUUGUGGUGAUUCAUAAUAACUGAUCGAAUCGCAUGCCUUCGGGCGGCGAUGUAUCAUUCAAGUUUCUGACCUAUCAGCUUCCGACGGUAGGGUAUUGGCCUACCGUGGCAAUGACGGGUAACGGGGAAUUAGGGUUCGAUUCCGGAGAGGGAGCCUGAGAAACGGCUACCACAUCUAAGGAAGGCAGCAGG
rnacentral:rRNA from 1 species